rnacentral:rRNA from 1 species
CCCUUAGAUGUUCUGGGCCGCACGCGCGCUACACUGAUGCAUUCAACGAGUCUAAAACCUGCUCUGAUAGGGGUGGGUAAUCUUUUGAAUGUGCAUCGUGAUUGGGAUAGAUGAUUGCAAUUUUUCAUCUUCAACGAGGAAUGCCUAGUAAACGCAAGUCGUCAGCUUGCAUUGAUUACGUCCCUGCCCUUUGUACACACCGCCCGUCGCUCCUACCGAUUGAAUGAUCCGAUGAAUAUCAUGGAUUGAGGAUGUAAGCAGGUUCGCCUGUCUUCAUCUUCGAGAAGUGAAGUAAAUCUUAUCAUUUAGAGGAAGGAGAAGUCGUAACA